UCCCUGGGAGCCAGCUCUGAACAAUACUGAGACACAGGGCGCACAUCUGCAUCCAGGAGCCUCCAUCUUCUAGACUCCGGCAGCCCCCCGCUUUAUUCGGAUUGUCAGAAGCAUGCAGCGGCUCUAGAUCGCACUGCAACCCGCACGGGAAGCUCUUCUCUCGGAUGCUUUACAUUUUCAUCUUGGAAAUGCACAAGAUUAUGUCUGUUUCUGUCUUCCUGGUUCCUGUGCUGUGGGGGCUGAUCACUGGAGUCUAUUCCAACGGCAUACAAAUAGGAGGGUUGUUUCCAAGGGGUGCAGAUCAGGAAUACAGUGCAUUUCGGGUAGGGAUGGUUAUCUUUUCCACUUCAGAGUUUAGGCUGACGCCCCAUAUCGACAAUCUGGAGGUAGCUAACAGCUUCGCUGUAACCAAUGCUUUCUGCUCCCAGUUUUCAAGAGGAGUCUUUGCUAUUUUUGGAUUUUAUGAUAAGAAGUCUGUAAAUACUAUCACAUCAUUUUGCGGAACUCUUCAUGUCUCCUUCAUAACCCCAAGCUUUCCAACAGAUGGUACUCAUCCAUUUGUUAUUCAAAUGAGGCCGGACCUCAAAGGAGCGCUUCUUAGUUUGAUUGAAUACUAUCAAUGGGAUAAAUUUGCAUAUCUUUAUGACAGUGAUAGAGGUUUAUCAACACUGCAAGCUGUGCUGGAUUCUGCAGCUGAGAAGAAAUGGCAAGUGACAGCAAUCAAUGUAGGCAACAUUAACAAUGACAGGAAAGAUGAAACGUACCGAUCCCUCUUCCAGGAUCUGGAAUUAAAAAAGGAAAGACGGGUGAUUCUUGACUGUGAGAGGGACAAAGUAAACGACAUUGUGGAUCAGGUAAUCACCAUUGGUAAACAUGUUAAAGGAUACCAUUAUAUCAUAGCAAAUCUGGGCUUUACAGAUGGAGAUUUAUCAAAAAUACAGUUCGGAGGGGCCAAUGUAUCAGGAUUUCAGAUUGUCGAUUAUGAUGACCCUGGAGUUGCCAAAUUCAUACAGCGCUGGUCAACACUAGAGGAAAAGGAAUAUCCUGGUGCACACACGUCAACUAUUAAGUAUACUUCGGCUCUGACUUUUGAUGCUGUCCAAGUGAUGACUGAGGCCUUUCGAACUUUAAGGAAACAGAGAAUUGAACUCUCUAGGAGAGGAAAUGCUGGUGACUGUUUAGCAAAUCCUGCUGUACCGUGGGGUCAUGGAGUUGAAAUAGAGAGAGCACUCAAACAGGUCCAAGUGGAUGGUUUGACUGGAAAUAUAAAAUUUGAUCAGAAUGGUAAAAGAGUGAAUUAUACAAUCAACAUAAUGGAACUCAAGAGCAAUGGACCUCGGAAGAUUGGCUACUGGAGUGAAAUUGACAAGAUGGUGGUUACUGUUAGUGAUGUAUUAUCUGCAAACGACUCCAUGGGUUUGGAAAACAAAACUGUUAUUGUCACGACUAUUUUGGAAGCUCCAUAUGUCAUGCAUAAGAAAAAUUCUGAUCAGUUUGAGGGAAAUGAUCGAUAUGAAGGAUACUGUGUUGAUUUGGCGACGGAAAUUGCCAGACACUGUGGAUUUAAAUACAAACUGACAAUAGUUGGUGAUGGAAAGUAUGGGGCAAGAGACGCUGAAACAAAAAUAUGGAAUGGCAUGGUCGGUGAAUUAGUCUAUGGGAAAGCGGAUAUUGCUAUUGCUCCAUUAACUAUAACACUGGUGAGAGAAGAAGUGAUUGACUUCUCUAAACCAUUCAUGAGUUUGGGAAUAUCAAUUAUGAUCAAGAAGCCUCAGAAGUCAAAACCAGGAGUGUUUUCUUUUCUUGAUCCUUUAGCCUAUGAGAUCUGGAUGUGCAUAGUGUUUGCAUAUAUUGGGGUCAGUGUAGUUUUAUUCCUGGUGAGCAGAUUUAGCCCAUAUGAAUGGCAUACUGAGGAGUUUGAAGACGGAAGAGAAACGCAAAGUAACGAUUCAUCUAAUGAGUUUGGGAUAUUUAAUAGUCUCUGGUUUUCCCUUGGUGCCUUUAUGCAGCAAGGAUGCGAUAUUUCGCCAAGAUCCCUAUCUGGUCGCAUUGUUGGAGGUGUGUGGUGGUUCUUUACCUUGAUUAUCAUUUCAUCCUACACGGCUAACUUAGCUGCCUUCCUUACCGUGGAACGGAUGGUGUCACCUAUAGAAAGUGCAGAAGAUCUUUCUAAACAAACUGAAAUAGCAUAUGGAACAUUGGAUUCAGGGUCAACAAAGGAAUUCUUUAGGAGAUCCAAAAUUGCUGUUUUUGAUAAAAUGUGGACAUAUAUGAAAAGUGCAGAGCCAUCUGUCUUUGUGAAGACCACAGCAGAAGGUGUAGCCCGGGUACGGAAGUCCAAAGGAAAAUAUGCCUACUUGCUGGAGUCCACCAUGAAUGAAUACAUCGAGCAAAGAAAACCGUGCGACACCAUGAAAGUUGGAGGAAAUUUGGAUUCAAAAGGCUACGGGAUCGCAACACCAAAACAAUCCCCAUUAAGAAAUGCGGUUAACCUCGCAGUACUAAAACUGAAUGAACAAGGCCUGUUGGACAAAUUGAAAAACAAAUGGUGGUACGACAAAGGAGAGUGCGGCAGCGGGGGAGGUGAUUCCAAGGAAAAGACAAGUGCGCUCAGUCUGAGCAAUGUGGCUGGAGUAUUCUACAUCCUCGUGGGAGGACUUGGCUUGGCAAUGCUGGUGGCUUUGAUUGAGUUCUGCUACAAGUCAAGAGCUGAGGCGAAACGAAUGAAGGUGGCAAAGAAUGCACAGAACACUAACCCAGCUUCCUCGCAGAAUUCACAGAAUUUUGCAACUUAUAAGGAAGGUUACAACGUAUAUGGAAUCGAAAGUGUAAAAAUUUAGGGGGUAGGAUUGAGGUUCUUAUACAACUAUUAAGUGCACGCUUGACUUCAUCCUUGUGCCUUUUAGCUGUCAUCUGGUGGCACCGGGUACUAACCAUAGUCAUAUCAACAAAUUUUGUACUAUCAUUCAUUGUAUUUUUGUGGUCAGUUCAAACUGUGGACACCAUGAUGGUUUAAGGAUCACUGGGGUAUAUUUACAAGAGUUUCUAGGGCUAUUAAUAUGAAUCUAGGAAAUUAACACCUUCCAAACUUACACAAGUACUGUAUGUGAAUCCUUUAUCCGUAAUCAUCUAGCAUAAAAGGAUCAUUCACAAUUUUCGCAUUAGACAUAUUCUAAAGUGUCACUAAAUAAAGGACAUCACAGGUCAAUUUCACAGGUCCAUACUUUAUUAUGAGUCUUGAAAUUAUUAAAUUGCAUUUCACGAUUGUAAUAUCCAAUCCUUACAAUGGGCCAUAAAUACCUGACCAGCAGGUUUGAGGGGUGUCGAACCCGAGUAGCCACAGUGCUGCAAGUUGGUGCCAGAACUACACAGUUCCAUCCACUGUUUAGUGGAUGGAGCUGAAUACUGAAGUGUUGCUCCCAUUCACUUAAUGUAAGCAGCAGGGUAGGGCUAUCAGUUUUAAAAUACCAAUAUACGCUUUUAGCUUCUAAAUCUUGCUAUAGUUCUUUUUUCUAUCUUCCCAUUUAAUUUGGUAUUUCAAUGAACUAAUAAUUAGAAUAAGUGUUAAAAUAUUUUUCCAGGAUUUUGGCAAUUCAUUCAUAAUUUUAGUGUCAGACUGGAAUAAUAGAGGAUAGCACAGCAUAUACUCAUAUUAAAAGAUGCUCCAGAAUUGUUAUUACAUAGAAAAUGCAAGUAAUGCAAGUAGUUACUAAAACAGACAUGUCAGGAGAGGUGACAGGUCCUCUUUACGACCCAGCAGGAUAUAUGCAUAUAAAGACCCUAUAGACUUACACUGCACAAGACUCUAGGGAAAUGACAAGGGCCAUGUGUAAAAUUAGCUACUAAAGUUACUGUAGAUAAGAUGUGCCCAGUUAGAUUGGUUUGAAAGGUAAAAGUGUCUUGGGAGCACAUUAUUUAAACCAAUUAUUACAUGAUGUGACCAUUCUGAGUGGUUAAAGGCAUGGGAUUGAUUUAAAUAGUUCCCUAUUAACCUGUACAAUACUGCAAUUAAUAUUCUCAGUUUUGCAUACCAAGCCUAUAGGGAUUUUAUUUUUCUUUAGCAGAUUUGUAUUCAACAAUUUUAACUGCAAUUUACAGGACCAUAAAAUACCUUCAAUGUAAAAUAAAAUUAAAGUACAGUGAAAUCAAUUUGAGAGGAAAAUUGGUGUUUUAGGGGGGUGGUCUUCUCAAUGCUGGCUAACUUAUAUAAUAUAUAGUAAAACUGGAUCUGUUGUGAGUAAGGGGGUGGUCUUCUCAAAUAGGUGGCCUUUUCGAGAGGCGUUAUUGUACUGUGUAUGUUCAGAAAUGUUUGUUACAUUAAACCCAACAAUCAGAUUACAACCUCUAAAUAGUAAUGAAUACUAACACUUUUAAGGGGGUACUCCAGGAGGUAAAAGUUAUCCCCUAAUACAGGAAAAGAGAUUACUAUCAGAUCGGUCGGGUUCCUACCGCUCGGACUCCCACUGAUCACGAGAGUGGGAGCCCAGUAUCCCCUGAGGCCCACCUGAAAUGAUCGGAGCCGCCGGUAGCACAUGUGUGCGGCCACUCCAUUCAUUUCUAUGGAAGUUCUGGAGGUAGCUGAGUAUCACGCAACUGCAUUUGCCAGUGUGCUUUGCCUCUGCAGCAUGAAAGAAAAGUACUGCAAACAAAAUAUAUUGAAAUUACAUUGUGUCAUAGAUGAAAAAAUAUCAGAAUGCUCAAUGUAGGAAUUAAUGAACGUAUAUGCAUUCAUUUUUAUGGAGGUGCACUUUUAUCUGUCAAAAAACAAACAAACUGUGUUGUGCAUAGAGGGGAGCAGAUAACAAUGCUUCGUUCUUGAGUGGUGUGCUGGGCUUAUGUCACAGUACAAAGAAAAACUGGAAAUCAUGUGUUUACAAAGCACACUAUAGCCCACAUUUAUUUGUAUGUUUUUGCUGGCACAUUCACCAAGUAUUUGAUCAGAGCCAUUUGUGGCCAGCAUGUAAAUUUAAAAGUAGAAUGAAUAAGUGGUCAUGGCUUUCUGCUUGGCCAGGAUUUAGACAUAUUUAUGUAUAAAGUUGUAAGACUCUUCUCUAGACUUGUAUUUAAGGAUGUGACAGAUUGAUCAACAUCAAAUAACAUCUUUAGAAAUUUGUAGCAAAAAAAAAAAUGCUAUGUAAGAUUGAUUUCCCUGUGUGAUUAAUUGGCACAGGAAUGGUCAGCAUAAGAACAUGAUGAUAUAAAUUGGAGGACGGUGUUAUGUCAUCUAGACAGCUGUAGAAAUAUGAGGCUAACUGGAGAUCACAGGCUAAUCUGCUAAUGGGCCAUGUUAAACAAAGGGAAUAUUGUUGGAAUUCUCAUACAAUCAUUUGAUUUGUUGAAUUUAUUGUUGCAUAUGCUAAAUGCUCUAGGGGUGAGCAAACAAUGAUCUCAACAACCACCAAACAGAGAAAUAUUUAGGGAUUACUGUUUUAUGUAAUUGAAUGCCUUCUGAAUGCAAAAAACAUGCAAGGUUCCAGUUCACACUUUUAAUGCUGCUAAAGAACCACUGGCUUAUCCAGUGAAUUGUGUCAUUUGAAGCUAUAGGCGAAUCUGAAAAUGUAAUUUUUUCAUAUCAUAUUAUUCACAUAGAUUUCUCAUUGAAUCAAUCUUUUGUUAUCUUUUUAGUUUAUUAUAUCAAAUACCUCAGUGUGGAUACUUAAUGCGUGAACUAUAUCGUUCAGUGAUGUCAUGAGGAACAAGGCAAGGCUGUCAAUUACAGGAAGUGCUGGGGAAAAUGGACGUGUUCUAACACCAGAAUUUCCAAAAGCAGUGCAUGCAGUGAGUCCUGGCAUGAGAAUGA